CAAACAUUGCUAUUUUGUCGCUCGAU
rnacentral:miRNA from 1 species